rnacentral:rRNA from 1 species
CCCGCUUCGGUGGGGUGAGUAAAGUGGCGCACGGCUGAGUAACGCGUGGGUAACCUGCCUUUGAAUCUGGGAUAACUUCGCGAAAGCGUUGCUAAUACCGGAUAUUAUCCUUGAAACCCCGGUUUUAAGGAUGAAAGAUGACCUCUUCAUGAAAGUUGUCAUUCAAAGAGGGGCUCGCGUACCAUUAGCUAGUUGGUAGGGUAAUGGCCUACCAAGGCUGCGAUGGUUAGCUGGUCUGAGAGGAUGACCAGCCACACUGGAACUGGAACACGGGCCAGACUCCUACGGGAGGCGGCAGUGAGGAAUUUUGCCCAAUGGGGGAAACCCUGAGGCAGCAACGCCGCGCGAGUGAAGAAGGCCUUCGGGUCGUAAAGCUCUGUCGAGUGGGAAAAAGUUCUUAUGGUAAAUAGCCAUGAGAGUUGAUGGUACCACUAAAGGAAGCACCGGCUAACUCCGUGCCAGCAGCCGCGGUAAUACGGAGGGUGCAAGCGUUAUUCGGAAUUAUUGGGCGUAAAGGGCGUGCAGGCGGCUUGGCAAGUCGGAUGUGAAAGCCCUGGGCUUAACCCAGGAAGUGCAUUCGAAACUAUCAAGCUUGAGUAUGGGAGAGGAGAGUGGAAUUCCCAGUGUAGAGGUGAAAUUCGUAGAUAUUGGGAGGAACACCCGUGGCGAAAGCGACUCUCUGGACCAAUACUGACGCUGAGACGCGAAAGCGUGGGGAGCAAACAGGAUUAGAUACCCUGGUAGUCCACGCCUUAAACGAUGAGAACUAGGUGUAGCGGGUAUUGACCCCUGCUGUGCCGUAGCAAACGCAUUAAGUUCUCCGCCUGGGGUGUACGGUCGCAAGGCUAAAACUCAAAGGAAUUGACGGGGGCCCGCACAAGCGGUGGAGCAUGUGGUUUAAUUCGACGCAACGCGAAGAACCUUACCUGGAUUUGACAUCCUUUGACAGUCCUAGAAAUAGGAUCUUUCCUGCUUGCAGGAACAAAGAGACAGGUGCUGCAUGGCUGUCUUCAGCUCGUGUCGUGAGAUGUUGGGUUAAGUCCCGCAACGAGCGCAACCCUUGUCUUUAGUUGCCAGUAUUAAGUUAGGCACUCUAAAGAUACUGCCUCGGUUAACGAGGAGGAGGGUGGGGAUGACGUCAAGUCCUCAUGGCCUUUAUAUCCAGGGCUACACACGUGCUACAAUGGGCUGUACAAAGAGCCGCGAAUCCGCGAGGAUAAGCCAAUCUCAAAAAGCAGCUCUCAGUUCGGAUCGGAGUCUGCAACUCGACUCCGUGAAGUGGGAAUCGCUAGUAAUCGUGGAUCAGUGCCACGGUGAAUACGUUCCCGGGCCUUGUACACACCGCCCGUCACACCACGAAAGUCGAUUGUACCAGAAGUUACUGGGCUAACCCGCAAGGGAUGCAGGUACCUAAGGUACGGUUGGUGAUUGGGGUGAAGUCGGAACAAGGUA